AGCAGCCGCGGUAAUUCCAGCUCCAAUAGCGUAUAUUAAAGUUGUUGCAGUUAAAAAGCUCGUAGUUGAAUUUCGGGGUCAAUACGUCGGUCGUGCCUUCGGUACGUACUGGUGUUAUUGAUCUCUCCCUUCUGAUGAAUCAUGAUGUCAUUAAUUUGGUGUCGUGGGGAGUCAGGACUGUUACUUUGAAAAAAUUAGAGUGUUUAAAGCAGGCUUACGCCUGAAUACAUUAGCAUGGAAUAAUGAAAUAGGACGUUCGAUCCUAUUUUGUUGGUUUCUAGGAUCAACGUAAUGAUUAAUAGGGAUAGUUGGGGGCAUUAGUAUUCAAUUGUCAGAGGUGAAAUUCUUGGAUUUAUUGAAGACUAACUACUGCGAAAGCAUUUGCCAAGGAUGUUUUCAUUAAUCAAGAACGAAAGUUAGGGGAUCGAAGACGAUCAGAUACCGUCGUAG
rnacentral:rRNA from 1 species